rnacentral:lncRNA from 1 species
CAUAGCAAGAACAAAGGAAGAAAAGAAGAACACAAACCCUAGGUGGAAAAAUUCAUGGGAAAAGUGUGAAAAUUCAAGUAAUCAAGCAAUCAAAGGUAAAAUUUCUUGAUUUUGACUUGUGAUCUACCUUUCCCAUGCAUUAUUUUGCAUUUUUCAUGGUUGAAUCACAAGAUAUCAUGAAGGAUUCAUUGCUGACCGAAUUUAGAGAGAGAGGAUUUGAUGGUUGUUUUGGUUAGAUUUUAAGAUAUUCUAGUGUUUUUAGUUAGUUGGUGAUGUAUAGCAUGAAAAUCAAACAAGAAAAAUUCAUUUUCUCCCAUAACCCAUCAUUGGCUGAAUUUUCCAUGUAGAGUGUGGAUGAUGAUUUUGAUUUUAUUUCCAGUGAAUUGGUUAGGAAAUGAUGAAUUAUGGUGAGAAAAUCAAGUAGGAAAAAUCAUAAUGUUGAUGCACCCACCAUGGCCGAAUUUUUCAAGAGAAAAUGUGAAGAUGAUUUUGCUAGAUUUUAUGCUAUUUGACUUGUGUUUGAUGAU